AUAUUUUUCUGCACCGAGUAUCUUCCUUCUUCUAUUUAUUCUUCUUUCUUCUUCUAAGACCGACAGAGAGAGAGUUGAGAAGCAGAAGUUAAGGGAGAAAGAGGAGUUAAGAACCGGAGGUGACCCGGUGGAACCAAGAGAGAGAGAGAGACCGGCGAGAGACCGAACGGAGAGGGAGUGUGAUGAGAGAAUCCGAGAGAGAGAGAGAGAGAGAGAGAGAGAGGGUUGACCCGUAGCGGACCCGUGACCCGCGGGAUCCGUGAAGGGAGAAACCCGACGAACCCGGAAAUCCAACCCGGCAGUGACCCGUUUCCGGCAGUGUCUUUCCGGCGACUUUUCUGUCAGCUUUCUCUGUGAAAAUCCCUAGGUGAUAAACUGAGAGACUGUACAAAAAGAUUCCCAUGUUGCAGGUACGAAAGUGUAUGAAGCUCAAGGAUAGGAGUUGGUUAGCAUUACAAGAAUUAGAACUGUUCGUUAAUGUAGUUGAUGAUUGUAGUGAUUUCUUGUAUCAAUUUGGAAUGUAAUACUUUAAUUACAUUUGUCACUCAAUAAAUUCUGAUGUAUCUUUUUAAAGAGAAUAAAUUUAUAUUCCGCUGCGUCAGUUAUCUCUGAUGUAGUAACGUCACGUGGAAACCGGAGGUUUCUGCUUACGAAUUUGCUGGUUCAAAUUUGGGGCGUUACAGAGUGCAUGUGCUCUAAGCAUAUUCUAGAGCUGCUAUUCUGGAUAUAAAGUAAUUGCAUAUUGUAUAAAGACCAUAAGGAUAACAAGUUAUAAUCAAA